AUUGAACGCUGGCGGCAUGCCUUACACAUGCAAGUCGAUCGGUAACGCGGGGGCAACCCUGGCGACGAGAGGCGGACGGGUGAGGAACGCUUGGGAAUCUGCCUAUCAGCGGGGGACAACACGGGGAAACUCGUGCUAAUACCGCAUACGCUCUACGGAGGAAAGCCGGGGACCGCAAGGCCUGGCACUGAUAGAUGAGCCCACGCCGGAUUAGCUAGUUGGCGGGGUAACGGCCCACCAAGGCGGCGAUCCGUAGCUGGUCUGAGAGGACGGUCAGCCACACUGGGACUGAGACACGGCCCAGACUCCUACGGGAGGCAGCAGUGGGGAAUAUUGGACAAUGGGGGAAACCCUGAUCCAGCGACGCCGCGUGGGUGAAGAAGGCCUGCGGGUUGUAAAGCCCUUUCGGUAGGGACGAAAGCUCUCGACCUAACACGUCGGGAGGUUGACUUAACCUACAAAAGAAGCACCGGCUAACUCUGUGCCAGCCGCCGCAGUAACAC
rnacentral:rRNA from 1 species